rnacentral:rRNA from 1 species
CGCCUGGGGAGUACGGGUGAGGUAACGGCUCACCAAGGCAUCGACGGGUAGCUGGUCUGAGAGGAUGAUCAGCCGCACUGGGACUGAGACACGGCCCAGACUCCUACGGGAGGCAGCAGUAGGGAAUAUUGCACAAUGGGCGAAAGCCUGAUGCAGCAACGCCGCGUGCGGGAAGAAGGCCCUAGGGUUGUAAACCGCUUUCAGCAGGGAAGAAAAUGACGGUACCUGCAGAAGAAGGUGCGGCCAACUACGUGCCAGCAGCCGCGGUGACACGUAGGCACCAAGCGUUGUCCGGAUUUAUUGGGCGUAAAGAGCUCGUAGGCGGUUCAGUAAGUCGGGUGUGAAAACUCUGGGCUCAACCCAGAGACGCCACUCGAUACUGCUGUGACUCGAGUGCGGUAGGGGAGCGGGGAAUUCCUAGUGUAGCGGUGAAAUGCGCAGAUAUUAGGAGGAACACCAGUGGCGAAGGCGCCGCUCUGGGCCGUAACUGACGCUGAGGAGCGAAAGCGUGGGUAGCAAACAGGAUUAGAUACCCUGGUAGUCCACGCCGUAAACGUUGGGCACUAGGUGUGGGUCUCAACCAACGAGAUCCGCGCCGUCGCUAACGCAUUAAGUGCCCCGCCUGGGGAGUACGG